CUGGCGGCCCGGCCGCGCAGCCCGCGGUGCCCGGCGCGCCCCGGGAGCAGCAGCGCUGGGGCCGCUCCGCGCCGCUCCGCCCGAGCGCACCAUGGGCGCGGAGCGCAGGGCGGCGGCGCCGGCUCCCCGCGGCUGCGCCUGCGGCGGCGGCGGCGGCAGCUGGCGGCUCUUCCUCGGCUUCUUCGCGCUGUCGCUGGCGCUGCACGUCCUGACGCUGGGCUGUUACCUGGAGCUGCGCUCCGAGCUCCGCCGCGACCGCGGCCCGCAGCCCGCGGCCCCGCCGCGCCGGGACGGGACGGCGGCAGCGCCCGGAGCGCCGGCCGGGGGCCGCCCGCAGCGCGCGGCCGAGGGCGCGGAGCGGCGCCAGCAGGUGGGUCCGGCCGGCGGCGGGGGCACCGCGGGGGCUCCGCGCCGCUCGGGGCCGCCCCCCGGCUCCAUCCCCGCGCUCGGCUGCCGCGCCCCGGGGCGCUUCGGAACGGCCCCUCGGGGGAGUUUGGUGGGAAAAGUGGGGAAAAGCCCCGAACUCGCGGUGCGGGGGUGAAGUGCGGGGGGAGCUCGUCUGGGCUGGGGGUGACGGGCUGCGGGGCCGCCCGCGUUCCACCUGCUGCUCGCCGUCUCCUUGUCGCGACAGACCCGCCGUGUGUCCCGACAGCGCAGCCCUGGCCGGGGGCAGCGGCUCUGCCCCGGCCCUUGCGGGGUGCCCCGGGGCGCUGUGCCGGGGAGCCCCGCACGGCUCGGCCCCGCAGCCGCCGUGAGCGCCGGUCCCGGUCCCGCACGGCCUCCGCUCGCUCCUCCCGCGCUGUGGCUGCGCUUCUCCCCCAGCCCAGGUGCUUCAUCUUUAGGGUGAUGCCUCGGUGUCCCCCCGCAGCAGCUGCUCAGCCUCUGCAGCACAGGUGGGCAGCAGCCUCCCGGUUGUCCCCGCCGCUGUCCCCAGUCCGUGCGGGGGUCGCCUGUCCCGAGAGCCUCUGGGAGAGCCGGAGCGGAGCUGGGGCCUCCUCUCGCAAACUUAGCUCAUUUUUUCCAGGCACGAAACUUCGCUGCGAGCAGGAUAAGCUGGAGGAAGGAGUUUCCUCCCCUCCGAGCCUCCCGAGCGGAUGGCCCGCUCCCCAAAGGUGCCGGGUGGCUUUGCCGCGGAGUCUCAGCGGGGUUUCGGGGGAGAUGCCAAGCCCUGCCUCGGCACCCCGGCGGUCCUCACCCUGCUGGUUAUCAGUGUGUGGGGGGAAGGACAAAAAUAGCUUUGAUAAAGCGGCGAGUUUGGAACUCUUCCUCCCACUUGGCAGCGGGAGCCGUUCCGCCGCGCCGGCCUCGGCUGCCCCCGGGAAAGCCGGGCUUGCGCUCCCUUCGCUGCCUGCAUCCCGCAGCUUCCCGUGA
rnacentral:lncRNA from 1 species